GACGUAGGGCGCGAGCGUUGUCCGGAUUUAUUGGGCGUAAAGAGCUCGUAGGCGGCUUGUCGCGUCGACCGUGAAAACUUGGGGCUCAACCCCAAGCCUGCGGUCGAUACGGGCAGGCUCGAGUUCGGUAGGGGAGACUGGAAUUCCUGGUGUAGCGGUGAAAUGCGUAGAUAUCUGGAGGAACACCGGUGGCGAAGGCGGCAUCCUGGACCGGUAUUGACGCUGAGGCGCGAAAGCCAGGGGAGCAAAGCGGG
rnacentral:rRNA from 1 species